rfam:Prunus persica cultivar Lovell chromosome G3, whole genome shotgun sequence.
AUGUGCCUGGCUCCCUGGAUGCCAUCUAAGCAACUAGUCAAUCAGAAUGUUGACUUUUCUUAGUUGGCAUCAGGGGAGUCAUGCAUGU